rnacentral:rRNA from 1 species
AGGAUGAACGCUGGCGGCGUGCCUAAUACAUGCAAGUAGAACGCUGAAGCUUGGUGCUUGCACCGAGCGGAUGAGUUGCGAACGGGUGAGUAACGCGUAGGUAACCUGCCUCUUAGCGGGGGAUAACUAUUGGAAACGAUAGCUAAUACCGCAUAAAAGUCGAUAUCGCAUGAUAUUGAUUUGAAAGGUGCAAUUGCAUCACUAAGAGAUGGACCUGCGUUGUAUUAGCUAGUUGGUGAGGUAACGGCUCACCAAGGCGACGAUACAUAGCCGACCUGAGAGGGUGAUCGGCCACACUGGGACUGAGACACGGCCCAGACUCCUACGGGAGGCAGCAGUAGGGAAUCUUCGGCAAUGGGGGCAACCCUGACCGAGCAACGCCGCGUGAGUGAAGAAGGUUUUCGGAUCGUAAAGCUCUGUUGUAAGAGAAGAACGAGUGUGAGAGUGGAAAGUUCACACUGUGACGGUAACUUACCAGAAAGGGACGGCUAACUACGUGCCAGCAGCCGCGGUAAUACGUAGGUCCCGAGCGUUAUCCGGAUUUAUUGGGCGUAAAGCGAGCGCAGGCGGUUAGAUAAGUCUGAAGUUAAAGGCUGUGGCUUAACCAUAGUACGCUUUGGAAACUGUUUAACUUGAGUGCAGAAGGGGAGAGUGGAAUUCCAUGUGUAGCGGUGAAACGCGUAGAUAUAUGGAGGAACACCGGUGGCGAAAGCGGCUCUCUGGUCUGUAACUGACGCUGAGGCUCGAAAGCGUGGGGAGCAAACAGGAUUAGAUACCUGU